GGUCGCUUAGCUCAGUUGGUUAGAGCGCAUGGAUCACACCCAUGAGGUCGGGGGUUCGAGGCCCUCAGCGACCA
rnacentral:tRNA from 1 species